rnacentral:rRNA from 1 species
GACGAACGCUGGCGGCGUGCCUAAUACAUGCAAGUCGAGCGAAGUUUUUCUGGUGCUUGCACCGGAAAAACUUAGCGGCGAACGGGUGAGUAACACGUAAAGAACCUGCCUCAUAGACUGGGACAACUAUUGGAAACGAUAGCUAAUACCGGAUAAUAGCAUUAACUGCAUGGUUGAUGUUUAAAAGUUGGUUUUGCUAACACUAUGAGAUGGCUUUGCGGUGCAUUAGCUAGUUGGUGGGGUAAAGGCCUACCAAGGCGACGAUGCAUAGCCGACCUGAGAGGGUGAUCGGCCACACUGGGACUGAGACACGGCCCAGACUCCUACGGGAGGCAGCAGUAGGGAAUCUUCCGCAAUGGGCGAAAGCCUGACGGAUCAACGCCGCGUGAGUGAAGAAGGAUUUCGGUUCGUAAAGCUCUGUUGUUAGGGAAGAAUGAUUGUGUAGUAACUAUACACAGUAGAGACGGUACCUAACCAGAAAGCCACGGCUAACUACGUG